AGUGUAAAAAUUAUAAAUCUGUCAAAUCGCAAACAAAAACUUAUGUUAUUUUGUGCAGUGUCUGUGGCACAACCGACAAAAAUAAAUAAAAACAAAACAUUAAAGUUUAUGUCCGCGAUGCGCGCAGCAUCAAAGUUUUUAAAUUUCAUUUGCCGAAUAUUUGGGAAAGGCUGCCAUAAAUAAAAGGUAUCGCAAAAGAGAGAGCCAUGAUCGACGUGACACUAUCACUCCCGAGAACCCAGUCGAUCGUUUUCCCUCCCAAUAAAAAACAGAAACCGAAAAUGCAAGGAAAAACAAAAGGCUUCGACGAGCUGGUCAGGCAAAAAAGGCAGAUAAGUUAGCCAAUGGAAUGGCCGCUGAAUUGGCUUGCAAUGUUUCAAUGGCUCAAGUCUGGCCAAAUUCCGGAUCCCCGGAACAAAUAUCUAUAGCGUUG